rnacentral:rRNA from 1 species
UACGUAGGGUGCAAGCGUUGUCCGGAAUUAUUGGGCGUAAAGAGCGUGUAGGCGGUCCGGUUAGUCCGCUGUGAAAGUCCAGGGCUCAACCCUGGAAUGCCGGUGGAUACUGUCGGGCUAGAGUCCGGAAGGGGCGAGUGGAAUUCCUGGUGUAGCGGUGAAAUGCGCAGAUAUCGGGAAGAACACCCGUGGCGAAGGCGGUUCUCUGGGACGGUACUGACGCUGAGACGCGAAAGCGUGGGGAGCGAACAGG